rnacentral:lncRNA from 1 species
GCCUACUGGUCAGAAAAUGACUCCAUCUCAGUCUUAAAACUGAACUUGAUGAAGUAGCUCUAUAGAUUUCAUAUUACGUUGAUCUUUAAGUGGAAGAUGACAAAAAGGAUGGAGUACUGUGCAUAGUAACCUGUGGCAUCGUAAUCUGCAUCUCCAUGGAAAAGAUGGUAAAACAAAGACUGCAGUGAAACCCGUUUUCUCCCAGGAAAAG